rnacentral:rRNA from 1 species
UACGUAGGGUGCGAGCGUUGUCCGGAAUUAUUGGGCGUAAAGGGCUCGUAGGCGGUUUGUCGCGUCGGGUGUGAAAACCCAGGGCUUAACUCUGGGCUUGCUUUCGAUACGGGCAGACUAGAGGUAUGCAGGGGAGAACGGAAUUCCUGGUGUAGCGGUGAAAUGCGCAGAUAUCAGGAGGAACACCGGUGGCGAAGGCGGUUCUCUGGGCAUUACCUGACGCUGAGGAGCGAAAGUGUGGGGAGCGAACAGG